rnacentral:rRNA from 1 species
AUUGAACGCUGGCGGCAGGCCUUACACAUGCAAGUCGAACGGUAGCAGGGUAAGAUGUUGAUUGGCGGAGGGGUGAGUAAUGUAUGGGAGCGGGCUACGUCGGAGGGGAUAUCUUCGUGGAGGAGAAGGUAGGACAGCAUACGCCCAGAGGGCGAACGCGGUGGGUGGGAAAGCCUCGGGCCAUUGGAGCGGGCGCGAUUGAAUGAGGCGAUGUCGGAUUAGAUAGUUGGCGGGGUAAAGGCCCACCAAGUCGACGGUCCGUAGCUGGUCUGAGAGGAUGACCAGCCACACUGGAACUGAGACACGGUCCAGACUCCUACGGGAGGCAGCAGUGGGGAAUUUUGGACAAUGGGCGCAAGCCUGAUCCAGCCAUGCCGCGUGCGGGAAGAAGGCCUUCGGGUUGUAAACCGCUUUUGUUAGGGAAGAAAAGGUUCUGGCUAAUACCUGGCACUUAUGACGGUACCUGAAGAAUAAGCACCGGCUAACUACGUG